AUUGAACGCUGGCGGCAUGCCUUACACAUGCAAGUCGAGCGGCAGCGCGGGGGCAACCCUGGCGGCGAGCGGCGGACGGGUGAGUAAUACAUCGGAACGUGUCCUUUCGUGGGGGAUAACCAGUCGAAAGACUGGCUAAUACCGCAUGAGAUCUCACGAUGAAAGCGAGGGACCGCAAGGCCUCGCGCGAUUGGAGCGGCCGAUGUCGGAUUAGCUAGUGGCGGGGUAAAGCCCACCAAGGCUACGAUCCGUAGCUGGUUUGAGAGAACGACCAGCCACACUGGGACUGAGACACGGCCCAGACUCCUACGGGAGGCAGCAGUGGGGAAUUUUGGACAAUGGGGGCAACCCUGAUCCAGCCAUGCCGCGUGUGUGAAGAAGGCCUCGGUGUAA
rnacentral:rRNA from 1 species